GCACUUCAGCAAACCCUUUCCUUCUGUCUCAGUGCUGGUCAUGGGUUAAAAAGUGCUAGAGUAAUUCAGCGUGUAUCCAGACGAGUCUCCUUUUCUAUUGGAGCUUGUCUCUACAAACUUUGAAACAAUC
ensembl:snoRNA